UUUUAUAUGAAUAAGCAAGCUUUCAAAUUCAUUUUACAAUUAAGUUCAGUUGGGAAUACCUUAACUUCCAUGUCCGUUAUCGUUUCGCGGUUGGGCGGCACUGGAAAUACCCUUAUGUGCAAUGUGGUAACUUCACCGUGUGACAUCAGUUUAACAAAUUUGUAUUAAGGGUGCAGUGAAUUCGUACUGUUUGCCUACCAGAAGGUGCGACUCUGGCAGCGCGACUCCAUCUAACAGCUAGCAGCAGUCAAUGUAUGCAAAACAAAACUUGAAAAUUUCAUAACCCCCGUAAACCGCCUGUUGUUGAUGUUGGCCAAUAUAAAAAAAAGUUAUAUACUUUAACAAUCAAGCAAGCUUAGCCGCUGCAACAGCUCAAUCACUACCUUCACUUUCCCAUUCCCAAACUUUCACCAAAGCUUUAUAAUUUUUGGAAAUCUACUUCAUAAGCGGAACGCGUGCGCCUACUGUAGAGUGCCGACCAGACUGUUAGUGUAUGCAUUAACGGUAAUUAAAAUUAUAACAGGUUCACCAAAAUUUCUGUUUGACGUAAGCCCACGGUCGCUGUCUACUCAUACGAAGGAACUUUUGAUGCAAGGAACAUCGCGAAAGCGGCAGCUGUGUACUUACAGGCGUAUACUCGUACAUAUGUAUGUACUAAUGUGCAUAUGUGUUCUCAGUAAAAAGGCCCCUGCUCGCAGGUAGACAGGUAGACUGUUAAAAGAUUGCAGGCAGUUUUAAUGAGUUAUCGUUAGGAAUCCGGAGGGAAGUGGCUAUUAUUCGGUGUUUGAAAGAGACUGCGAUUGCAGCUCCGAAAUUCUUCCGUUUCCUUAAUCAAGUGCAAUGUAUCGUAAUAAAUUAUGUAUACAUACGGAUGCUUCCAUGACUCGGCAUGUGAUAUAACGGCAUUAAAAAUAUUGGAAAAUGUUAUGUAAUUCACGUUUGGUGCUUUUGUGCAAUUUCAAGUAAGAUUGAAGGAAAUACUCUUAACUAUAAAUUGCGUUGCGAAUCGUAUAUGAGUAAGCCAUUCAUUGCAUACGAAAAUUUUAGUUGUAUUUCAAAAGCAGAAAUUAAACURCAGAAAUGUGUGAUUUAAGAUUA